GGUUGUUUUACAAGCUCACAACCCAACCUGUUGUUUUACGAGCUCACAACGAACUCGGUCGGUUUUUCCAGGCUCACCGACUAGAACCACCCCGAUUGUUUUUCCGGGAUCACAAUCGAACCCUUACACGUUGGUUUUACCCUCGGCUCACCAACCAACCUCUACACUCUUGAUUCAAUCUCCUGAUUGAAUCAAGCAAAGACAAGAUGGAAAGAACAAGGACAAACAGAAAAACAGAGCUUCUAAAAAAUAGAUAUACAGUAAUAUAAACUAGAGAGAAGUUAAGAGCCCUCAAACACGUUUGAGUUGGAGUAGAGUAGGGCUUCUUGAACUGUGAGUCUCCUCUUGAAUGUCUGGUCCACUUGAAGGCAGGAGGAGACUUCUUUAAAUGCUGGGAA
rnacentral:lncRNA from 1 species